rnacentral:rRNA from 1 species
AAUUUUGGACAAUGGGGAAACCCUUAACCAGCCAUCCCUCCGUUUUUUAUUAAGCCCUUCGGUUGUAAAAUACUUUUGGCAUGCAAUGAAAAGUAACUUCUAAUACCGAGUACUUCCUGCGGUAUCUUCCGCAUUAGCCACUGCCUACCACCUUCCAGCAGCCCCGGUAAUACGUAGGGUGCAAGCGUUAAUCGGAAUUACUGGGCGUAAAGCGUGUGUAGGCGGUUCGGAAAGAAAAAUGUGAAAUCCCAGGGCUCAACCUUGGAACUGCAUUUUUAACUGCCGAGCUAGAGUAUGUCAGAGGGGGGUAGAAUUCCACGUGUAGCAGUGAAAUGCGUAGAUAUGUGGAGGAAUACCGAUGGCGAAGGCAGCCCCCUGGGAUAAUACUGACGCUCAGACACGAAAGCGUGGGGAGCAAACA